rnacentral:rRNA from 1 species
CAGGACGAACGCUGGCGGCGUGCCUAACACAUGCAAGUCGAGCGGGGACAUACGACGGAACCAAAGUUUUCGGAUGGAGGUGAAGAUGUAUGUUCUAGCGGCGGACGGGUGAGUAACGCGUGGGCAACCUGUCCCUUACAGGGGGAUAACACAGCGAAAGUUGUACUAAUACCGCAUGAGACCACGGGGAGACAUCUUUCAGGGGGUCAAAGGAGCAAUCCGGUAAGGGGUGGGCUCGCGUCCGAUUAGAUAGUUGGUGAGGUAACGGCCCACCAAGUCGACGAUCGGUAGCCGACCUGAGAGGGUGAUCGGCCACAUUGGGACUGAGACACGGCCCAAACUCCUACGGGAGGCAGCAGUGGGGAAUAUUGGGCAAUGGGGGGAACCCUGACCCAGCAACGCCGCGUGAGGGAAGAAGGUUUUCGGAUCGUAAACCUCUGUCCUUGGUGAAGAGUAAGAGACGGUAGCCAAGGAGGAAGCCCCGGCUAACUACGUGCCAGCAGCAGC